rnacentral:tRNA from 1 species
UUUAAAUAGUUUAAUUAAAAUUUUGAUUUGUGGAGUCAAAGAUAUAUUAGUAGUAUUUUAAAUAA